rnacentral:rRNA from 1 species
CCCCUAGAUGUUCUGGGCCGCACGCGCGCUACACUGAACAGUUCAACAAGUCUUAACCUUGGCCGAUAGGUCUGGGUAAUCUUUGAACGCUGUUCGUGAUUGGGAUAGACCUUUGCAAUUAUGGGUCUUCAACGAGGAAUUCCUAGUAAACGCAAGUCAUCAGCUUGCAUUGAUUACGUCCCUGCCCGUUGUACACACCGCCCGUCGCACCUACCGAUUGAAUGGUCCGGUGAAAUCUCGGGACGGCGGCUUGGUCGCUUGCGUCCGACUGCUGAAACUUGAUUAAACCAUAUCAUUUAGAGGAAGGUGAAGUCGUANCA